AACCUGUCCUUUUAGUACAGAAUCUUUACACUUGUUCCAGUUCCUCUAUAUCCUCUCUGGGAUGAGGAAUUGCGUAGGGCAUUCAAGAUGCAGGAGCAGAGUGGAUUUCUUGUGCAACAUUCUGAAUCACCAAGGUUGGAGAAGACCAUCAAGAUCAUCCAGUCCAACCAUCCACCUGUCACCAACAGCUCUCACUAAACCAUGCCCCUCAACACAAAAUCCAAUAUACAUUUCCUGCCAUUUUAUCUGCAAUUCUUCAUGGUUUCCCAACAAAUUUUAGAAAGCCCCUGGCAGCUACUGAGGAUGAAGGCUCAUCAUAAAGUGUGUUUUACUGGUGGGAAGAUGACUGUCUACAAGAUUUUCAAUUUUAUCUAAUGGCAUUCAGCUCAGAGGCAUCAAAAUUUCUCUCUGGAGCCAAUUGCAUGUUUCUUCAGUUUGGUUUCCAAAAAAAAGCUGCUUUUUACAGACAGAAGCCUUACUGGGGAGCUUGACUAUUCACUUGUUGCUCUCAUAUUGGAGAGGGCGUGAUGUAGACCUUACCUGCUAAUGAGGAAUCAGCGAUGAGAUUUGAGCACUAAGGCAAUGUGCUUUCAGUAGUUACUUUUGCUAGGUAGAAGGACUUGUGUUU